ensembl:lncRNA
CACAGCGUCCUAUUGUCGUGUAUCAAAACCGUCAUCCAAGCAUAUCCAAGGAGAGGCUUUUACCUAUCAGCAGUAUCUCUGUAGCCUGGUCCUACCAGACUCUCGUGCUUCAUUUCAUUUGCACAGAGAGUCUGAUACCUACUCAAUAGUGGCGGACUCACGCCUCUUCCGGUAGAGCCCAUGGGACCUAUGGGCUCUGGAAGUAAUUAUUUUCUGGUGCCAGUCUUUAUAGGCACUGGAUUACACAUACGUUGUUUGUGGAUUUAAAUCAUAAUUUUUCGUGCAUAGAAAACGCGAAGAAGUUUGAUAGUGUUAGGUUUUGUGUGAGGCCGUUUUGUGAACUACAGCCCCUUGCUGCUCUCGCCGAGAAUGAUAUACGUCACCACCACUCUGGUACAGGCAUGGCGAUCUCUGCUCCACUUUUUUCCAAGGGGAGGAUAACAGCAUCGAAAGAGGUCCCAUGGGCUCUACCGGAAAGGGCGUGACUUCGCCACUCUAUUGACAAUCCUUAACUCACUUGAAGGCGGGUUCCUGUUGAAUUUUAAAACUAUUGGAUCUGCCAUUAUCAAUCGCUAACGUUUGGCCGCGAAUCAAGUUGCGCACAGGCAAACAAUAAACAAACCAAACACCGUGAAGAUGUCCGUCAACGAGAGCUGACCUUAACGUCAUCGUUCUCAGCCACUCCCUCUGUUCGCUGAUUGGACGCACACAAUUUGGAAGGAGAAAACCAACAUACCGCAGACCCAUGCUGUGUUCCAAUAUUCAUACUAUCCGUACCUACUUUACUUAGUCUGAGUACGUAGGGAGUUCCAAUUGAGAUCGGGCGAAAAUAAGUGUACUGAAAGGACCCGGACGGUGUACACAAACCGGUCAAACCGCGAAGUGUGGAUCGAUGAAGACUUUUCGUACUCAACGGCUGCCAUCUUAGCUACGUAGCAGAAGAGGGCGGAGCCGGGCUGAGCCAAAGUGUUUACAUUAAAUUAGCUGCGGAUGUUUGCGGGGAUACCAUAUGGGCAAUAGCUUGGUGUGUGAGAAUAAAAAGGCCGGGAUCUUAUGAUGGGGAGUUCUUUGCAAACUACUAGGCUUUGUUGUUGCUAUGGAAGAAAUUAACCCUACAUUUUAUGUUAAACUAUGAUUCGAAGGAUACGAAGGAUACAAAGUACAUUUCAGUUUUGUUAAGAUCUCAUCCUUAUUUUAUCUUGUUUAUCUUACACUUAUCUUAUCUUUAUCUUAACGAGCAC